rnacentral:rRNA from 1 species
CCUACGGGGGGCACCAGUGGGGAAUAUUGCGCAAUGGGCGCAAGCCUGAUGCAGCCAUGCCGCGUGUAUGAAGAAGGCCUUAGGGUUGUAAAGUACUUCCAGUUGGGAGGAAGGCGUUGAUGCUAAUAUCAUCAACGAUUGACGUUACCGACAGAAGAAGCACCGGCUAACUCCGUGCCAGCAGCCGCGGUAAUACGGAGGGUGCAAGCGUUAAUCGGAAUUACUGGGCGUAAAGCGCACGCAGGCGGUUGAUUAGGUUAGAUGUGAAAUCCCCGGGCUUAACCUGGGAAUGGCAUCUAAGACUGGUCAGCUAGAGUCUUGUAGAGGGGGGUGGAAUUCCAUGUGUAGCGGUGAAAUGCGUAGAGAUGUGGAGGAAUACCGGUGGCGAAGGCGGCCCCCUGGACAAAGACUGACGCUCAGGUGCGAAAGCGUGGGGAGCAAACAGGAUUAGAUACCCGCGUAGUC